ensembl:ncRNA F26E4.17 ncRNA
CGUCUACGGCUCGUGGGAGGUUGAACAUGGGCGGCAGACCGUUUGUUUGAUCAAGAGAAAGAGUAUGGAGCGAUACGAGAGUGCAGAUUACCUGGGUUCCGUCCGCUUCAUUAGCAUAUGACAGGAGGAAGCGAUACAAACA